rnacentral:rRNA from 1 species
UACGGGAGGCAGCAGUAGGGAAUUUUGGACAAUGGGGGCAACCUGAUCCAGCAAUGCCGCGUGGUGAAGAAGGCCUUCGGGUUGUAAAGCUACUUUUGUCAGGAACGAAACGGUGGGAGAUAAUACCUCUGUAAUGACGGUACCUGAAGAGUAAGCACCGGCUAACUACGUGCCAGCAGCCGCGGUAAUA